GACGAACGCUGGCGGCGUGCUUAACACAUGCAAGUCGAACGGUGAAGCGCCUUCCUUUUUGGUGGGUGUGGAUGAGUGGCGAACGGGUGAGUAACACGUGAGUAACCUGCCCCCUUCUUCUGGAUAACCGCAUGAAAGUGUGGCUAAUACGGGAUAUUCUGGGUCUGUCGCAUGAUGGGUCUGGGAAAGAUAUUGUUUCGGUGGGGGAUGGGCUCGCGGCCUAUCAGCUUGUUGGUGGGGUGAUGGCCUACCAAGGCGGUGACGGGUAGCCGGCCUGAGAGGGUGGACGGUCACACUGGGACUGAGACACGGCCCAGACUCCUACGGGAGGCAGCAGUGGGGAAUAUUGCACAAUGGGCGCAAGCCUGAUGCAGCGACGCCGCGUGAGGGAUGGAGGCCUUCGGGUUGUGAACCUCUUUCGCCAGUGAAGCAGGCCUGCCUCGUUUGUGGGUGGGUUGACGGUAGCUGGAUAAGAAGCGCAGGCUAACUACGUG
rnacentral:rRNA from 1 species